rnacentral:rRNA from 1 species
GACGAACCGAGCGAACGUUGUUCGGAAUCACUGGGUGUAAAGGGUGCGUAGGUGGCUAGGUAAGUCGGAUGUGAAAUCCCGGGGCUCAACCCCGGAACUGCAUUCGAUACUGCCUGGCUAGAGUACUGGAGAGGAGAUUGGAAUUUACGGUGUAGCAGUGAAAUGCGUAGAUAUCGUAAGGAAGACCAGUGGCGAAGGCGGAUCUCUGGACAGUUACUGACACUGAGGCACGAAGGCCAGGGGAGCAAACGGG